UUGCCUUUGAAACCUAAGUUUGAAUCUGUUCCUUUGAUUUUUUUUUUUAAAUUUUCAACAUUUCCCUUGUUUUAACCCUGUUGUCGCCCCUAUGGUUUAAAAAACCUAGCAUUUAAACAUCUUUUUUUCCCAUUUGUGUGUUCAAAUUGCAUCCUUUUAAACUCUAACAUAUUUUCUCUCUUGUGAUUUUCUCUCCAUUAUUUCUUUCUCUCCCCCUUUUGUGUGUCCCUCAUCUUGUCUCCUCUCAAUUGUUUUUCAUACUUCUUUUUGUUUGUGUCACCAAUCCUCAUUCAUCACCGCCGUCUGCACCACUUUGUGUCAUUGCUGCCCCCUUCUCCGUCACCGUCGCGUCGUCAUCGUUUUUCUCUCAUCCUUUCUUUUCGUCUUCAUUCCUUUCAUUGUGGUCAGAUCUCCCUUUGCUUUUACAAUCUCUUUUGCUGAAUCUCCUUUGACUGCCAAGAUCUCCACUGAUUGUUUGUUCCCGAUUUGAUUACUGGUGUAGAUCCCAGAUAUGGACCACUCAGAUCAUCUUUAAUAAUUGAGGCUAAUUGCAUCCUCCAUUUCGAACUGGUAGAAAGCGUACAGAUCUGGACGUGUCAGACCAAACCUGAUCUGUAGGAUUGUUGUUUCAGAUAUGUAAAUUGGAGAAAAGAAUCAAGAUAAGCCGAGAUCGAGUUUAGAUCGGGGAAAAAGGAAGAUUAAUGAAUAGCCGAUAGUUUUUAUCUGAGCAAUACGAGAGGUUUAUUAGCUCGCUCAUUUCGAACAACUCGGAGUUACACAUCACACUAUCCAUUUGCUGAUUGGUACUUUUGAACUCGUGGAUUAUUGUAAAUAUGGCAUGUAUAGGCUAGUCUUAAUAGUGAUAAUUAUGGUUACUUGAGAUUAUGGAUUUGGUACUUUUUGUGUAUAAGUUAAGCCAUGUGGUUUGGCUUAUUUUGGUAUCAUGUUUUGGUUGUGUAUAAGUGUUCAAUUAUGAUAUAUGUUUUGGCAAGAAAUAGAUGAAAUGAAAAUGUGCAAAUGAUGUUUUGAUAUGUAGUUGACAUAUGAAUGGAUAAUGCAUGAUAUUAAUUAGGUGAUUGAGUACUAAA